UACAUGGGGUGCAAACGUUGCUCGGAAUUAUUGGGCGUAAAGCGCGCGUAGGCGGUUACUCAAGUCGGAUGUGAAAGCCCUCGGCUUAACUGAGGAAGUGCACCCGAAACUGAGUAGCUAGAGUACUAAAGAGGGUCGCGGAAUUCCCGGUGUAGAGGUGAAAUUCGUAGAUAUCAGGAGGAACACCGGUGGCGAAGGCGGUUCUCUGGGCCUUACCUGACGCUGAGGAGCGAAAGCAUGGGGAGCAAACAGG
rnacentral:rRNA from 1 species